UGGUUCUGUGUGUCCUGAAGGCAGAGCUAGGCACAAGCAGCAGGCAGGUCAUAGGAGGUGUCUGUUUUGCUGGGGAGGGUGAGGCUCCAGGGCAGACAUGACAUUGUCCUGCUGUGGGAAGAGCACAGAGAGGUCAGGCUGGGCAUUGGCAGGUGCAGAUUGCUAUCCUAACACAGAAGCAAGAAAAGUGCUGGACUCUGAACUGCUUUGCCAAGGAUAGGGAAUGGGGUGCUAUGCUCUGGCUGGGAUGAACUGGCAGGAAGGGUGUGCAUGGACUUGUGUCCUUCACCUUUCCCUUGACCUGAGCAGCACCACUGCUGCUCUGAGUGCUCCCAGCAUAGUGACAGGAGCACAGUUGUGAGCCUGUGCAACUCUACAGAUUUCUGUCUGUACCAAAGCCAAGUCCAGUGCUUCCAGGGGUGCAGGUUAGCACCUCUUUCAGGCAAUGUCCCUUGCUGUCCCAUUCAUAAGGGAUAAAAACUCCCAUCCCAACUCUGGAGUGCAAAACAUGCCAGUAAGGAAUAGUCCUUAUACUCAAGGGAGUACUUGGUAUUUAUAUAGCAUUGCCUUUUUUCUUCCCCUGUCUGAGCCUACUGGAGAUAGAUAGAUAGAUAGAUAGAUAGAUAGAUAGAUAGAUAGAUAGAUAGAUAGAUAGAUAGAUAGAUAGAUAGAUAGAUAGAUAGUAGAACUUCAGCCUCCUUACUGUCCAUCAAAACAGAAUUUGAACCUACUUUGAAGUAUCCACUAGCUUGCCGCAGCCUUGAGCCAGCAUUUCAGCAACAAUGUGGAUGGACAAUUCAAUGUGUAUAAAAUAAACCCAGCUGUUUUGUCCUGCCUGCAAGAACUUUGGAUCUGCAAAACUCCUGUCAAGAAUGUUGCAUUAUGGAGAAGACAAUUAUCUCUCUCAGGAUGAGAAGGACUUGGCUGCUUUUACUCUGGGAAAGGAAUAUUGCUGUAUAAAUAGCCUUCCAUCACCAACUCUUCUUCUUUCUUGCAUAUUGACUGAGACACUGCUCAGCUUGCCACAGAGAGGUAAGCAGUAGACAAGUCAACAUCUAUGAAACGGUGAAUGGCAUGGAUAGGGAUCAGUGGGGAUCAGUACAAAAGCUGGGGUCCUCAAAGAAAGCUAAGAGGUGUCAGGCUCAAAAAGAAUGCCCACUGCACAGAGUACCACUCCUUUCCAGCUGUUAUAAUCCUUGCUUUGGGAUGUUGUGAAUGCCAGGAAGUUCAUAUGGCUGUCCAAGUCAAGGGAGGGAGACUGGACAGGUUUGUGGAAUAGAGAAGCUAGUAAGGAUAAUGAUCUCAUCUUUGGCUAUGAAAGUCCCUGAGAUGUAACUAGACACAGGGAAACUCUUUGGGGAAGUAUUGCUACAUGCUUGCUAAGAGAUAUUUUUUAUACUCUUCUGUAGCUAAUUGUUUUUGAUCAUGUUGAAGGUGGGAUGCUUGGAUAGAUAGACCUAUGUCCAUCCCUAUGCUCUUACCCAGGCAAUGUGAACUGAGAAGUGACAGAGGUUUGGUAAUGAGCCAGUGACCAGAGCCCAGUGAGUUGUGUGCCAGAGAUCUGUGCUGCCCAGGUAUUCUAAGUCCCUUCUAUGGAGUCCAUCCGGGGGGGCUUGCACUUGAUCUAUUUGGCACCUCCUAGAGCAUGGAGAUCAUUGAUUUCCUUGUGCUCAUGAAGAAUGAUGUGUGCAGCUGGCUUGGCACGGUCCCAGAACCACCUGGGUGACUGUCUGAUCAGAAACAUGAUGGCAGGGAAAGGAGAGAGGUGACAAAAGGGUCAGGAAGAGCCUACAAUUCUGCUAACCAAAGUAACUCUCAGGCACAGGCUUACAGCAGCACUCACAGCAGCCAACCCACAGCAGCACACCCAGUCCCUCCCUUAGACUGCAGCAGUAGUUGCUGGGUUUUGUGUGUCUGUGUCUGGCUUGAAGCUGCUAAAAAUAAGAAACAUGGCAAAAUUGUGGUUAUAAAAGUGAAUAAUGGAUAGCAAAUGGAGGCCAUCUCUCUAUGGCACGUUGUCCAUGGACAGAGGAAUGCUGUACAGUUAACCAUGUUGGAAGAGCCACUGCUGGGACUGACACUUGGUCCAAUCCUGCACAACGUUUGGAUGGAUAUAUGAGACUUGGCUGGCUUCAGAGGUAUGUUUUCUUGGAUAUGGGGGAUGAUGUCAUGUGAUGUGUAAGCACACAGUGGUGCAGCUGGGAAGUGUCCUGUGUAACAAACUCCUCACUCAUCAGGCCCAUCCAUGUCAGCUACUGAAGCCUGGGGACAUGUCUCUUGGGACAUUCUGAGCAACAUGUGGGGAGAAGUAAGAUUGGAGUGGAUAUUUGGAAGAGGAGACGAGAAGGGCAGUUUGAGGCAAGACACAACCAUCUGGAACUCAACCAGGCUGUGGUGGACUGAGCAAGAAGAAAAGAAUGUGAAUGUGAGAACACAUACUAUCUGUAGGACCUGCCCAUGACAGAAGAAGGGCUCUAGCACUCAUUCCCUGGCCCCACCAGCAGAAAAGAUUGACCAGACAUAAGAAAGAAUCAAGUCUCUCUGCUGUGUGAGGCACAGGGGGCAUGUCUGUAUAGCCCAGUGUGAACAGACAGGCAUUUUCAAUGCCUUGUACUUCAGCCCUGGAACACACAUGGCUGUGUUAGUUCAGGGCUGUGACCACACUGACAAAUCUGUUUAUGGAGGAGAUGUGCAGGGUUAUUUCUCUUCAGUGGUGUCUCAGGCCCCAUUGCCCACAGCAGCUGACUAUGAUGGGGCAGUGUGCUGUAACUACCUAUCCUCAGAGGAUCUGCUCCAUUGGCCAAAAUCCUCUGGCUCCUUUUUCUCUCAUGCUACUUACCACAGAAUGGGGCUGAAGGACUGGUCAUUAAAAAAACUUUCACUUCCUGGGGCAGCCUGCUCAUGUUGACACCUGCCUGCUCCAGCAGGCCUGCAGGGGGAAAUAAAGUCAGUGCAGGGAAAGCCAUGAAUGACAGAACAGAAAUAUAAGUAAGAAAUAUAACAGAAAUAUAAUAUGUAUCAGUCACCUCCUUUUCACCCUGCCUGACUCCCCUGUCUUGGAGAACAGGUCCCUUUCUUAGACCAGUGCAAAUCAGAGCAAGUACACGUUUGUGGUGUCUGACAGGUUAACAUUCCCUCAGAAAACCUCCACUGGCUACCCCAGGUAACCAUCCCCAGAGAACCUCUUGGUGGCUUUCUUUUCAUUCCUCUGCCAACAAAGUGUGCUGUCAGAGGCAUUUGUGCAAAAUGAGCAAGACCAAGGACUACCAAGUCAGGGAACUUGGUGCAGAUGUAAAUGACAGUGCAAACACAAGGGAAAUGGAAUUCCUUGGUCAAAUGAGGAAACCAUCAUAACUUGUGGCUUGCAUCAUUGAAUAGCUGGCAAAAUGGUUUGGUGAGAGAGCCAUUUUGCUGAUCUGAGAGAACCUAUACUAAAAAAGGCCUCUCUUUAUGUUCCUCUGGUACCAUACUGCAAAUAGCAGCAGAGGACACUUGGAUGCCACAGCCCAGCUUCAGAAGCCUAAAAGAGGCACCUGCUACCUUCUACCAGUCCAAAGAGUUCAUCUUUGGGGUGACCAUGGCAGAAAUUUAUGAAAAGGAGGUGACUCAGCAACACUGAGAGGUGUAGAAGGCUGGGACUUCAGGCUUGAACUAAAAUUUCCAGUUGCUUCGCUAAACAAGACAUUUUUUUUUGAGCUGAUUGCCUACUGAUUCUGGAUGGCAAUUCUGGAAACUCUCUUUCAACACAUAUCUAGGAAAUGUUUAACGAUCAGAAAUGUUCAAGAUUUUGCUGUUCUACCAUGGUUAAUAUAUGAGUUUUCAUAUUGUAUCUACAGAAGCCUGAAAAUGAAACAGCUUGUCACUCUUCCCAAACAGAUCCAAAGCAAAUCCUGCUCAGAGAAAUCUGGACUACAUCCUGUGCUCUGCACUGACACCAUCAGGAAAGUAUUGCCAUCUGCUCUGGGCAGGUCUCAUGCUGAUACUGUACCUAUUCUGGGACAGGAGGACAGGAAGGGUUUUGCACAGUCCAGGCAAUGACCAUUUAGAAAAUCUUGAUGACUUGCACAGGGGAAGCCCACGACGGGACAGGGGUGGCUCAGGGCACUGAUGUAGAGAUGCACAGCCCGCAUGUGAUCGCAGAUCAGGAAGUUGUAGCCUGCAGGGAAAACAUCAACCAGAGAAAAGCAGCCAUGAGUUUUCCUGUCAGCUUCAGGCUUUUUGCUCAUUCCCAAGGAGCUGGGAGUGAAGGAACACUGUUACUGCAGUGAUGACCUUCCCAUUAAUAACAUUUUGCAGGGCAUUUCUGUGGCUACAAGCCCAGAUCCCACUACAAGAAAAGUUCUACAGGAAGUUAGAAGAGUAACUAUGGGAAAUGAGGUAACAUAGAUGUCUCAGGAAAGCUGACCCUCAAUGCAGCUGACUCAUACAGAACAUAUUUGAAUGUUAAAGAGUUCACACUGUUUAGUGUGGAAAGUCCUCUUCUCUAGAAGAAAAGGACAGUAAUUGUACAAACUGUCUCUCUAAGUAGACACAACUUCCAGCAUGAAAGCAAAAAGCAGCUUUUUUUAGUGCUACCUAGGAGCCUUUCUAGCAAAGUGUUAUCUCUACUGAAGCUAGGGUUUUGUGUCACAGAGAAGCAUCACCAAAAUCACAUCUCCUGACAGUGGUGCUGCCAAGACACUUGAUCUGUAUGUGAUUUUAAUGUCACCUGCUUCUUGUACUGCUAAGAAGAGGUGUGGGCUGUGAAUAUGUUUGUCUCGCUUUGCUGACUGCCCUGGCUGUAGCAAGAGCUGCUUGCCAAACAGCAUUUUCAGAGUCUGCUAAAUGGCCAUGAAAGCUCUCUGCUUGGCCAGAGGGUGUUCUUACCUGCAGAGAUGAACCGGGGGCAUCCUGGCUGAUCUUUGCCUCCAUUGACAAAGUAAUCGAUGUGGCCGACAGGAAUCCGGAUCCCAAAAUCUGAAAGGAGGUGAAAUGCCACUUCAUUCUCAGCCUUGGCUCUUCUGUAGGCUUUACCCUACAUGUUGAUGACAGGUCCCAAUAACUAACUUAGUAGUACUGAAGCCAGCCCUAAUGCUGGAGACAUAAAGGCCAGAUAUCCUGCUUCUACAUGCGCAGGUUUGAUGCAUGGAGCAGAAAAUGCUUCAGCCCCUGCCAUCAGAAUGACUGGAAACUGUCUUAACCACCAGCUCAGCAACUCUAGGUCUUGAUUCUAUGUAAAGGAGAACUAAACUGACCCCAGCCUUAAUGUGGGAUUGUGAAGGAUAAUUGAGAGUUGUGUUGGUAGAGGUUUUCAUGGUCUUCAGGCAAAAGGUGUCACUCAAAGGCACCCAAAGGCACAUUCUUUAGCACAUGUUCUGCCUAUGCAGAUCCUCAGUGCUUUAGAGAAGUUUCUCUGUUGUUGUGUCAGCUUUUGAUUUGACUCUGUUACUUUCCAACAGCACCCUGGGUGGCACCUGUCUUACAUCAGGCAGGAAAAACAAAGUGAGGCUAGACCUAUAAAUUCUCUUCAGGCAGUAAAAGUCAUGCUGAGGUGGUUCUGCAUAAACUCACUCUGCUGUAGCAAACUCUGCCUGUCUGUUGUUUAAAGUGCUCCGGGGUACGAAUUCAUCAUCAAAACCUUUCUUAACAAGAAUCUUCCUCAAGAGUGAACUUGAACUCAUAGCAGUUUGGCAAAAAGAGGGACAAUGGUCUACAGACUCUUUAGCAAUAAUGCUGUCAGCAGGAACAGGAGGCCAGGCUGAGGAAGAGAGAAGCCAGCUUACAGUCAGCAUCAGUGUGAAUUGCUUCCACGAAGAGGGCAUCCCCAGGAUCCAGGCGUUCCUCGGGGCUGGCUCUGGUGUACUUGGGGCCUGCAGGAUCCAGGGCUGGAAUAAAAUCAAACACCUCAACAAGUACUCUUCAGCCCCUCUCUUUCUUAUUUCUGGACCAGUUAUUUUAUCUAAAACUUGAAAAAUAGUGCUAGGCAGAUAUAAUAAAUUAUUCCCAGUUCUCAGCGAUUAAGCUCCAGAAUAGUUUCUGCUAGAAGCAACCUCCACUACAGCUUCCUUGUAUUGUUCCCACUGUUCCACACCCUUUGGCAGUGUUUUAUCUAAAAGUUUUAUGCUGUAAAGCCAUGACUGAGCCUUAAAUAGCACUAACAGAGUGGGUGAAUAGUGGCUCUUGGAGUUUGGUGAAAGAGAAUCAAACUUUUCAAUGCCUUCCCAAAUUGUGCUGCCGUGUGUAUUAUGACUACAGCCUGAGAAAUGUCACUGCAGAUCAGCAGUGAAUUCAGCACCCAGGCAUUAACCAACUCAGGAAUUACACAAGUUUCAUACUACCUAACAAUUUUAAACCAAAGAGGCUUCUGAACCCUUUCCCCACAAAUAAAACUGAGUCUUUGGCAAUCAUCUACAUUUUUGCCUAAAACUUCCUCCUAGAGUAAUUUCUGUGGACUCAAAGGAACACAGAAAAGUAUCCUUGGCAAUACCAAGAAGCAGAUUUUGUUUGUUUGGUUUCUUUUUCCUGAGGUUUAUCCUGUUCUCAUUUUAUAGAAAAGUAACCUCACAAGACUUUUUGUCAUUCCCCAGGCAACAAUAGUUUAGGAAGCAGGUCUGCUCCUUGUGCCAUUAACCUUGGAGGUGGCUGGGUUCACAGCUUUGGACUCAGUCUCAUUAAUUCUCCAUGGAGAAGGCAGUAUCAACAAUAUACAAAUGGGCAUGUCUGCAUUUGUGAGGAGAGAGGGAAGGAGAAAAAGAAGGAAAAAACCUUCUUUUCUGUUAUUUCUGUAAAUAAAAGCUAAAAAUAAGACUUUAAUGCUCUUUAAUCUUGAAAUGCACAAAAAGCUGAGAGGUUCCCCACCCACUUCUACAGACCAAGUUGUAGUUAAAAGCUUUAAAAGAUACUGAGAAUUGUUAUUUAGCAUGGCAUAAAAUUCUUAGUGAGGAGGCAGAAACCUUAUAUGAACAUACACUCCAGCAAAUUGUUGCUCUGGGGUCAAAUUCCUGUGUGAGGAAUUUGUGAGGAGGCAGGACUUGAGAUCAGGCAUAUCUUGGGUCUAAGCCAACCUGUCUUCAGGAUCCUAAAUCUGAACUGGAAUCUGCAAUGCCCAGUGUGCCUAUGAAAUCACAGGAUAAACAAGAAUGUGGAAAAGGGAUUGUAUUCAAGCAGAGUUAAAAAUGGAAUAAAUAAAUCUGCAAAGCUUCUAUUACAUGUGGACAACAUAUAGGGGAAGAGUGCUUGAUUCAGAAGUUAAUUACUGUGGUUUCAUGGAAUUGUGUCUGCUUCUGCUCAUCUGAAGACAUCACUGAUCAUAAAAUUCUAGUGCAGGACAGAGGCAACUCUAAAUUUCUCCUAAUGUUAACUUUGAUUCACAGCUUUAACCAGGGCUCAACAUGAAAUUCAUUUCCUGUAAAGAAAUGCCCAUAUUUCAUGCAGCAUAGGUAUCUGAGAAAACAGGACCAACAUUUCUCUGGACUGCCCAGCCAAGAGUGGAGUGAGACCCUUCCUGAGGAUACCUCUGUGAGACAGACCAGCAUGGGCUGAGGCAGCAGGAGUUUAGGCCACACUGCUGGAGACUUUGUCUGUUCCUUCGUAGUGGCAUUCCCCUCCUAUCAAAACGAAUCUCUGUUAGUCAUUCCCAGAAUUUAGUAAGACCUUUGACAAUCUGAUAUGACAUACAAUGCAGCCCCACUUUGAGAAGGGGUGGUGGUGGUAGUGUGUGGACUAGAGAGACCUUCCAAAGUUUCUUCUUACCUAAAUGAUUCUGUGACUUUAUUCAUGCUUCACACCUAAAGGCUGAACAGGUCCUCAGUGCACCAAAACCUCUAAGUGACAGGAUCAGCCUAUAACCAUUUUGCUCUGCAAUUCCUCCAGUGGAGUCUCUUCCUCACACCUCUGGCUGUGUUUAAGGUCAGCUCUGUUUGGUGCACACUCUGUUUGGGUGGCAUUAGCCCAGCCUACUGUGAAAACAGCCAGCUCGUGGGGGAGAACAGCAAGGAGCCUCAUCUGGGUCCUCCCAAUGUUGGCUCAGGCUCUUCUUGCAUUUGUUCCAUGCCUGAGCUGUGUGGUAGGGAUGCCAUGCCCUAGCCUUUGCCUUGUGGGUCAGCCUUGGUCCUGACUUGACUUCCCAGCUUGGUCUUGGGCUUGCCUUAUCACUACAAACUAGACUGUGCAUGACCCUGGUUCCUGUCACUGCACCUGCUCUGCUCUCCUGCCCAGACACAGUAGGACUGCAUCCCUUGUCUGUGAGGCCACUGCCCACCUUACUGUCCCCUUGGCUCUCAGCUCAUGUUUUCUUGCAGAGCAGCUCAAUCCUGCUGCUCCCCCCAAAACUGCAUUGUGGGCUUUAAUUCUAAGAACCUCAUGUGCAUGCUAUAAUUUGGAAGCAAAGCUUCUGGGUUUUUGUGGGCUUUCACUGGUAAUGAGGGCUCGUACCAAUGGUAAGCUGGCACCAAUUUGAUGAGUGUAGCAGAGGUGGAAGCACCUUUCUGCAAAUGCUUGUGUUCUUUUGGCAGCAUGGAGCGGACUGAUGCUGGAAAGGCGCUGUCAGAACCUAGGGAGAAGCCCAUAAGCCUUAUGAAAUGAAAAGACCAUUCUGAAUGACUCCCCUUUAUUGCUCUUUCAUUCUCUCUCCCGAAGGACAGGUGAGGACCCCAGACUCAGAAUGUGAUACCUGUUAUCCGUCCCAGGCGGCCGCCGUGGAAGUGCCCCACCAGGCCCCCGACGUGGGCUCCCAGGCUCACCCCGAUGAUGUGGAUAGAUGUCCCUGAGACUCCCAGGGCCUGCAGGGUGACAAUAAUACAAAUUACUCUUUCUGGAGCAGAAAGGUGAAAUACCCUGUGCCAGCCCACACAGCAACUCUAUAACUCUCCUAAUGUAGGAUUGCUUUUGAGGUGUACAGUGGGAAACCAAAUACUCAAGGAAAUGAUGGGUUGCACUUUCUGUUUUUCAGGGCCUUUCUUCAGGUCCACAGAUGCAAACCCAGCUCUAAACAGAUUGGUCAGCACAGCAAACACUUAAUGGAGAGUUUACAUGUAGCUGGUUAACACAAGGAUUCAUCCCCCUGAUUGCAGAAGUCUUGUUCAGCUGUGCUUGGCAUGAAGAGAAUGGGGCACAUCUAGGUACUUCCACAUACUGGGAAGUCUAUCUGAAGCCCAGAGCAAAUAUAUUAUAGCCUCAAAUUAUAGUCUCACUCCAUCUAGCUUCCUGGACAAAAUUUCU